rnacentral:rRNA from 1 species
UCAUAAGAAUGUGAAGCCGCUAGGAGCUUAAACGGGUGGAACUGCGAAGGACGAACGAGGGUAUUCAACUCGUGGGUCGGACGGGACUGGGAUUUUCUCCCGAUGGCGCCGUGCUGUUGUAUGUAGCGCGGGAGGCCCAGUCCCAGACACAAGUCCGGCCGGCGGGCGUAAUUGUCCCCUCUAGUAGCGUGACACAGCGAGCCGUCUGCGGGAGCCAGGAGGGCCGCGUCCGGAUUGGUACCCUCGGUCAGGAGGGGAAACCGGCGUGCUGCUGCUCCUAGGCUGGCUCUGAAGCCGCGACGGUGCUCCGAGAGAAGGGGCCCCCUUUCGCUGUGAAGUAGCGGUGAUCCACCCGACCCGUCUUGAAACACGGACCAAGGAGUCUAACCUGUGCGCGAGUCUAAGGGUCCACCCAAGCCCGGAGGCGCAAUGAAAGUGAGCGGACUCUUUUCAGAGUUCUGUGCUGGCCGAUCCCCGGGGGAUGAGAGCCCGGGGCGCAGGCCGAGGACUCGCCGCGGGGCGGCCGUACGUGGUGGCCCACGCUCGCCCUUCGCGGGGUGGGCGCGGGCGGCCCGCGCGGUCCGCCGGCGAGUACCUUGAGAGCGCACACGUUGGGACCCGAAA